rnacentral:lncRNA from 1 species
UACUCCCUCCGUCCCAGCCAAGACGCUACAUUUGCUUUUCGGCACGGGAUUUAAGGAAUUGUAGAUUAAUAUUUAAGUGUGUAAUAAUAAAGUGAUAAAGUAAGAAAGAGAAGGUAAUCUAUAAUCUAUCUAUAAUCUAUAAUUAUAUAAAAGCAGAGGUUUGGGCUGCAUGGAUUUCCCGCCAAAGCACAUCACUGUUUUAUCCAUUGUACAAUUUUUGUUGCUGAUUGACUGUUGGGCCUUGCAGUUGAGCUGGUUUUGGCUCCAAAAAGUGCAGCCCAAAAUUCAAAUUUCAAUUUUUGGAGCCCAAAACCUGUCUUGAUAAGUGUAAAUUAUCUUCUAUAAAUAGUGCCUCAUUAACUGCUAAUCUUCACAGUCGAAUUCUCCAUUUUCGGAUUUGUGGUUGCGAAUUAUUUCAGCUGACAUUUACAGCUUGCAAUCUUUCUCUCUACUCUUGGUUUCUUUAUUGCUUCUUUAUGCUAUUUUAAUUUUACUGUUGCUAUUUUUCUUUUUAUUCUGUUUAGUUUUUUGCUGUUUAUUAGUAUUAGUUUCAAUUACAACUAAGAUACAAAUUUAUACAGUUUUUUCUACUUUCUGAAUUUUUGCAGCAGAUCAAAACCGUAGAAGAUUAAGACUGAAUCUUUCUUAAUCUUUCCGUUUCUUAAUCUUUCCGUGGAAGUAUAGACUGAAUCUUUCUUAAUCUUUCCGUGGAAGUAUUACCACUGAGAUCUUGAAGUAUUACCACUGAGAUCUGCAAAAGGCACAAGAAAGUUUACUCUGCAGGCUUAUGAAGUUGAAAAGGUUGUAUAAAUCAACAAGGAUGUAUAUCAGUAGCAAAAAUUGUCGAAAGAAUGAAUUUGUGUGGAUGUUCAUAGAUCUACAUGCGAAUGAAAAUAAAGAUGUUCAUAGAUCUACAAAAAUCAAAUGCGAAAAACAGACUGCAAACAAGAGCAAAGAUGUUCAUAGAUCUACUGAAUCAGAUGCCAAAAAAUAGUAUUGAAAUCAGAUCUGCGAAAAAUAUUUUUUUUGUUUAUAGAUUUUUCAAAAAAUUAGAUGCCCAAAACAGAUAGACAAAAAUCAGGCAACCGAAGAAAUAUUCUUUGUUGGAAAUAUAUCAAUUAAUUUCUUCAUAAGUUGAAAGACAAAAAGGAAGACAAAAUAUAGAAAAUGAAAGAUAAAGACUUUUGUAAAAUACUGACAAGACACGGGAGCUCCACAUUCUCUAACUUAAGUGCAAAAGGGGUGGGGAACAAAAUCAGGAGAUAAAGAAAAUUAUGCAUACCAGUCGUACUUCCAUAUGUUACAUGCAUACAAGCAAAACAUACAAAUUAUUGGAACGAAGGAUGCACAUAAAAUCGGUCAAAUAACCAGUUAAUUUCAACUUAACUUUACACAACAAGCUUCUUGGGAUACUUCAGAUCUGCGAAAAAUAUUUUUUUUGUUUAUAGAUUUUUCAAAAAAUCAGAUGCCCAAAACAGAUAGACAAAAAUGCAGAUGCCCAAAAUAUCUUACUGUAUUGAACAAGCUGUUGUUUCAAAAUUUGUGGCUAAAUGAAAAAAAAUAAUCAAUUCAGCAAGAAAAAAAAUACAUGGAGAUCGCAAGAAUUAAAGAUGCAGUCGAGGGAGGAGGCCGAGAUCUGGAAGCUAGGGCUGGGCGACGCCGUAGUUUGAAACUCGGACGGCGGCGGCUGGAUAAGGGCUGAGCAGAGGGAGGCAGCGGCUCAUUUAUCGUCGUCGAGGAGAGAGGCGACACCUCGUGGAGCGUCGUCUAGAUGUGAGGCCGGAGUUGGUAGUUUAGGGAUCUAAGGGUUUUCGGACCGCGGCUUUGCGGUUAAACGGUUGCAGGUUUUUCUCCGGCAGAGGGAGAAAGAAGACGAUAGAGAGAACGUUUGAGCUUCUCGCCGGCAGGUGGAAGAAAGUCGGCAGAGGGUGAGGCAGAGGGAGAGAGAAAACAAGGGAGAGCACGGAUGGGAGAAGAAAUGAGAGAGAAGAAGCGGCGCUGAACCCUAAUUUUAGAGGAGAUGAGUAUUUAGGCUGUAUUUUAGGGUUGAAAAGUGUGGAUGGGCUGUAUUUAUGUAAUUGGGCUGAAUUUAUUGUA